rnacentral:rRNA from 1 species
CUGAUUAUAUUAAAGAGCCGCAGUAUUCUGACUGUGCGAAGGUAGCAUAAUAAAUUGUCUUUUAAAUGGAGGCUUGAAUGAAAGGUUGGACAAAGUAUCAUCUGUUUCUUAAAUAUUUAUUGAAUUUGACUUUCAAGUGAAAAGGCUUGAAUAAAUUAAAAAGACGAUAAGACCCUAUAAAUCUUUACAAUAAACAUGUUCUAUAUUUUAAUUUAUAAGUAUAUAAAAUAUUAAAUUUGUAUUUGUUUCGCUGGGGCGGCGUGGAUAUAUUAAUAAACUGUCUAUGUGUUAAAUCCAAUAAUUAUUGAUUAGUGAGAUUGAUCCUUAAAUAGAUUAAAAGAUUAAGAUACUUUAGGGAUAACAGCGUUAUUUUUUUUGAGAGUUCUUAUCGAAGAAAAAGUUUGCGACCUCGAUGUUGAAUUAAAGUAUCUUUAUGGUGCAGCCGCUAUAAGAGAGAGUCUGUUCGACUUUUAAUACUUUACAUGAUCUGA